AUGCACAAAAGUUAAUCAAAGCUUAACGGCGCUGUUAACUCAUUUGUUUCGAUUAAAAAAUGACAUUUGCUUUGAUUAAAUUAGUUAAUUUAACGGAACUGUUAAACAUCGAUUAAGCUAAAAUUCCUAUGCACAAAAAAGAAUUAGCAUUAACGACGCCGUCAAGUCGGCUUUAAUCACGGCAAAAUUUAACCGGUGCUCAUUGACUGAUUAAACUGACAGUUCGUUGAUAAUGUUCAAUUUGAUCUUGUGGAACGUAUUUUUAUAGAAUAAUUUGACCUAUUCUAAUAGUUAUUCGAGAUGUUCCUUAUUGUUAAUUAGUGUUAAAGUUCUCAGUUUGUGUUCAGUUCAUUUUUUAAUAGGUACUUACUUUUUCAUAAAUAAAUUUGGAAAUAAUAUGUAAGUGAAAAAUUACUUUUUACUUAUAAAUAACAUAAUUCCUUACUGUUUAUUUAGCCAUUUUCAUGUUGGACAUUUCACUCUCCUCUUUUUCUUCGUCCUCCGAUGAAGAGGAAGCCCCCGCCAGGAGAAUAAGAUUUAUAAGGGAUAGAAACAAUCCUUUUCAAAUAUACGAUGAUAUCGAUUUCAAAAUGAGGUACAGGUUUUCGAAGCCAAUAGUACAAAAUUUGCUUCAUAUGUUUGGACAUUUAAUAGAACCGAAAACCAAGAGGAACAAAAGUAUUGAUGGCCUAACCCAGCUUCUAAUAACUCUUCGGUUCUAUGCAACUGGAACAUAUCAAAGAGUUAUUGGAGAUCAUAUCAACGUAAAUCAGAGUACUGCCUGUCGUGUGAUAAAUAGAGUCACCAGACAUCUUGCUCGUCAAAGGCCAAAUUUUAUAAACAUGCCCAAGAACCAAGACGACAUUUUACAAGUCUGUAGAGGCUUUUACAGAAUCAGAGGGUUUCCUAAAGUGAUUGGAGCUAUAGAUUGCACACACAUCAAGAUACAGUCUCCUGGUGGAAAUAAUGCUGAGCUAUAUAGAAAUAGAAAAGGCUUCUUUUCUAUUAAUGUGCAAGCCAUAUGUGAUGCCACAUUAAAAAUCAGGCACAUAAUAAGUAGAUGGCCAGGAUCUGUUCAUGACAGUACUAUUUUCAAUGAUAGUCCAUUAAUCCCGGAAUUUGAAGCUGACCAAUACGGAGCAGGAACUUAUUUAUUGGGGGACUCUGGAUAUGCUUGUAAGAAAUAUCUCUUAACCCCUUUCUUGAAUCCCCGAACGCCCGCAGAAGAACGAUACAACAGGUCACAUGUGGCAACAAGGAAUACGAUCGAAAGAACAUUCGGUGUGUUAAAAAGAAGGUUUCCUUGUCUCUUUUUAGGCUUGAGAAAUACUGUUCACGUAUGUUUGAUGAUAAUAGUUGCAUGCGCGGUCUUACACAAUAUUGCCAUUGAUUCAAAUGACCAUUUAAACGAAUUUUUUGAAGAUCAAGGCAGAGCUGAAGACAUACCGAUCGCAGAAGGUUACCGGAAUGAAAAUACAUCCAUUAGAACUGCUCUAGUUAAUACUACUUUCAGUUAAUAAAUUUGUUCUGUCCGUUUAUUUGUUCAUUUACUUCCUUAAAAAAGGAACACAGAAGUUAAACAGCUGAAUCCAGCACCUAACUGCGAAGUCAUCUUAAACUUCAGCGAAAUACUUUUUUGCUGAUUUUCGACUUCGUCAGGUAUAUAGGUACUGACAUUAAUAGGAGGCAAUCCCAAAAGAGCUUGCAGAAAAAUAACAUUUUAUUAUGUGGUUUUGUUUAUGAAUAUUUCAAUUCUUUCGUUUAACUAUGCACCUUUUCUUUUGUAAUUCUUAAAGUGUUUCGACCCUGCAUUCUCAGCAAGUGUGUUUCUUCAAAGACUUUAUUUAACUAUGAGUAGGUACCUAAGUACAUUUUUAGUAACGACGAUGCCAUCAGACAGAUCAGAGUUAUUAUAUUUACGGGGAUUAGCAUGACCAUGACCAACCAAUGUAUAAAAAUACAGUCAAUAUUAUCAACACCAUUUUAUUUGAAUAGAAAAUAUGUUCAUUUACUUAAUUGAUUCAUGAAAAUGCGUUUUUUAAAAUUUUUCUCCAUUAGGAGAGUGCUGUAUUCCAGCCUAGCAUUCUUCAACUUUUGAAGGUCGCCGUUUUGCAGCAAUUAUUCCACCUUUUGGCGCAGGUUGGCGAUCAGCUAUGGAAGAAAAGGAACAGGAUGGUAUACUUUGGUCCACCACUUCAGGGAUGAUUGCUGGGGGAGAAGGUUCUAAUAGCAAUAUUGCCUCGUCAUCUUUAAAACAAUGUUUUUAUUAAGUAAAUGCAAACUUUGAUUUGUACCGUGAUAA